rnacentral:rRNA from 1 species
GCUUGCUUGAGCGGAAAGUGGCGAAAGGGUGAGUAACGCGUGAGUAAGCUGCCCCCAAGUUUGGAAUAAUUCUCCGAAAGGAGGACUAAUACCGGAUAAUGUUAAUUUACUGCAUGGUGAGUUAACUAAAGAUUUAUCGCUUGGGGAUGUGCUCGCGGUUCCAUUAGCUUGUUGGUAGGGGGUAACGGCCUACCAAGGGCUAUGAAACGGGAUAGGUGGGGUCUGAGAGGGGAUGGUCAACCCCACACUGGGGGACUGAAAGACACUGGCCCAAGGACUCCUACCGGGGAGGCUGGCCAGUCGGGAAUCUUUCCGCAAUGGGCGAAAGCCUGGACGGAGCAAUGCCGCGUGUAGGAUGAAGGCCCUUGGGUCGUAAACUACUGUCACCGGGGAUGAAUAAUGACAGUACCCGGAGAGGAAGCCACGGCUAACUACGUGCCAGCAGCCGCGGUAAUACGUAGGUGGCGAGCGUUGUUCGGAUUUAUUGGGCGUAAAGGGUUCGUAGGUGGUUUAUCAAGUUUGAUGUGAAAUCCCGAGGCUCAACCUCGGAACUGCAUUGAAAACUGGUAGACUUGAGGAUCGGAGAGGAAAGCGGAAUUUCAGGUGUAGCGGUGGAAUGCGUAGAUAUCUGAAAGAACACCGACAGCGAAGGCAGCUUUCUGGACGAUUCCUGACACUGAGGGACGAAAGCGUGGGUAGCGAACAGGAUUAGAUACCCUGGUAGUCCACGCCGUAAACGUUGUGUGCUUGGCUUGGGGGGAUUCAACCCCCUCCGAGUCGGAGCUAACGCAUUAAGCACACCGCCUGGGGACUACGGCCGCAAGGCUAAAACUCAAAGGAAUUGACGGGGGCCCGCACAAGCGGUGGAGCAUGUGGCUUAAUUCGAGGCAACGCGAAGAACCUUACCUGGACUUGACAUAUAAUUGACAGUCCGUGAAAGCGGAUUUUCCUUCGGGACAGUUAUACAGGUGCUGCAUGGCUGUCGUCAGCUCGUGUCGUUGAGAUGUUCGGUUAAGUCCGGCAACGAGCGCAACCCGUGUCAUUAGUUGCUACCAGGUUAUGCUGGGCACUCUAAUGAGACUGCCCGUGUUAAGCGGGAGGAAGGCGCGGAUGACGUCAAGUCAGUAUGGCCCUUAUGUCCAGGGCUGCACACGUGCUACAAUGGUCGGUACAAUGUGACGCAAUACCGCGAGGUGGAGCAAAUCACCAAAACCGGCCCCAGUUCAGAUUGUAGUCUGCAACUCGACUACAUGAAGUCAGAAUCGCUAGUAAAGGCGUAUCAGCUAUAGCGCCUUGAAUACGUUCCCGGGCCUUGUACACACCGCCCGUCACAUCAUGGAAGCUGUUUGCACCCGAAGUCGUUAACCCAACCGGA